UGGGGAAUAUUGGACAAUGGGCGCAAGCCUGAUCCAGCCAUGCCGCGUGAGUGAUGAAGGCCCUAGGGUUGUAAAGCUCUUUCAACGGUGAAGAUAAUGACGGUAACCGUAGAAGAAGCCCCGGCUAACUUCGUGCCAGCAGCCGCGGUAAUACGAAGGGGGCAAGCGUUGUUCGGAAUUACUGGGCGUAAAGGGCGCGUAGGCGGCCUGAUAAGUCAGAGGUGAAAGCCCUCGGCUCAACCGAGGAAAUGCCUCUGAAACUGUCUGGCUCGAGGCUGGGAGAGGACAGCGGAAUUCCUGGUGUAGCGGUGAAAUGCGUAGAUAUCAGGAGGAACACCCGUGGCGAAGGCGGCUGUCUGGACCAGUUCUGACGCUGAGGCGCGAAAGCGUGGGGAGCAACAGGAUUAGAUAGCCCUGGUAGUCCAUGCCGUAAACGUUGGGCACUAGGUGUGGUCUCAACCAACGAGAUCCGCGCCGUCGCUAACGCAUUAAGUGCCCCGCCU
rnacentral:rRNA from 1 species